CACCACUCAAGCCUGGCUUGGUAUUGGGCGCCGCGGGACUCCCGCGCGCCUCAAAGUCUUCUUUUCCGGCUGAGCGACCCGUCUCUAAGCGUUGUGGCAACUAUUCGCGGCGAGAUCGGGGGGCGGCGGCCGUUAAAUCAUUUCAUUCA
rnacentral:misc_RNA from 1 species